rnacentral:rRNA from 1 species
GCCCAGCCCUAAACUUUGAUAGUAUUCUACACCCACUAUCCGCCAGGGGACUACGAGCAUUAGCUUAAAACCCAAAGGACUUGGCGGUGCUUUAGACCCCCCUAGAGGAGCCUGUUCUAGAACCGAUAAUCCCCGUUAAACCUCACCCUCUCUUGUCAUUUCCGCCUAUAUACCACCGUCGUCAGCUUACCCUGUGAAGGUACUGUAGUAAGCAAAAUUAGUAUAACCCAAAACGUCAGGUCGAGGUGUAGCAUAUGAGAGGGGAAGAAAUGGGCUACAUUCCCAGCUUUCCUGAGAACACGAACAAUGUGAUGAAACGUACAUUAGAAGGAGGAUUUAGCAGUAAGCAUGAAAAUAGAGCGUUCUGCUGAAACCGGCCCUGAAGCGCGCACACACCGCCCGUCACCCUCCCCUACUUAAUUCAGAGAUUCAACAAGUCUCAUUUGCUAAGGGGAGGCAAGUCGUAACAUGGUAAGUGUACCGGAAGAUGCACUUGGAAAAAU